rnacentral:rRNA from 1 species
GAGUUUGAUCGUGGCUCAGAUUGAACGCUGGCGGCAUGCCUUACACAUGCAAGUCGAGCGGCAGCGCGGGGGCAACCCUGGCGGCGAGCGGCGAACGGGUGAGUAAUGCAUCGGAACGUGUCCUCUUGUGGGGGAUAACCAGUCGAAAGACUGGCUAAUACCGCAUGAGAUCGAGAGAUGAAAGCAGGGGACCGCAAGGCCUUGCGCGAGAGGAGCGGCCGAUGCCGGAUUAGCUAGUUGGUGGGGUAAAGGCCUACCAAGGCGACGACCCGUAGCUGGUCUGAGAGGACGACCAGCCACACUGGGACUGAGACACGGCCCAGACUCCUACGGGAGGCAGCAGUGGGGAAUUUUGGACAAUGGGGGAAACCCUGAUCCAGCCAUGCCGCGUGUGUGAAGAAGGCC